rnacentral:rRNA from 1 species
UAACGAAAGGAAUUGACGGGACCCGCACAAGCAGCGGAGCGUGUGGUUAAUUCGAUGCUACACGAAGAACCUUACCAGGGUUUGACAUGUACGUGGUAGUGAUCUGAAAAGUGAACGACCCUCGGGGAGCUUACACAGGUGCUGCAUGGCUGUCGUCAGCUCGUGUCGUGAGAUGUUCGGUCAAGUCCGCUAACGAGCGCAACCCUCACUGUGUGUUAUACGUGUCACACGGGACUGCCGGUUUUAAGCCGGAGGAAGGUGGGGAUGACGUCAAGUCAGCAUGGCCUUUAUAUCCUGGGCUACACACACGCUACAAUGGUCGGUACAAUUGGUUGCCAAGCCGCGAGGCGGAGCCAAUCCAUAAAGCCGGCCUCAGUUCAGAUUGUAGGCUGCAACUCGCCUGCAUGAAGAUGGAGUUGCUAGUAACCGCAGGUCAGCAUUACUGCGGUGAAUACGUUCCCGGGUCUU